UAGGGUGAAAUUGAUUAAAUAUUUCUUUUACAAUGAAAAAAAGCAAGAAAUGCCGCUCUAA
rnacentral:tRNA from 1 species